rnacentral:rRNA from 1 species
UAAGGAAUAUUGCUCAAUGGGAGAAAUCCUGAAGCAGCAACGCCGCGUGGAGGAUGAAGGGUCUAUGACUUGUAAACUCCUGUAAAGAAGGAAAAAAUUCCCAUUUGAUGGGAGAUGAUGGUACUUCUGGAGUAAGCCCCGGCUAACUACGUGCCAGCAGCCGCGGUAAUACGUAGGGGGCAAGCGUUGUCCGGAUUUACUGGGUGUAAAGGGUGCUCAGGCGGAUUUGUAAGUCAGAGGUGAAAUCUUACAGCUUAACUGUGAAACUGCCUUUGAGACUGCAAGCCUAGAGUAUGGAAGAGAGUGAUGGAAUAUCUGGUGUAGCAGUGAAAUGCGUAGAUAUCAGAUAGAACACCAAUGGCGAAGGCAGUCACUUGGUCCAUUACUGACGCUAAAGCACGAAAGCGUGGGUAGCAAACA